AGCCGCCGCGGUAAUACGGAGGGUGCAAGCGUUAUCCGGAAUCACUGGGUUUAAAGGGUGCGCAGGCGGCCUGGUAAGUCAGGGGUGAAAGCUUCCCGCUCAACGGGAGAACUGCCCUUGAUACUGCCAGGCUCGAAUUGGGUUGAGGCCGGCGGAAUGUGGCAUGUAGCGGUGAAAUGCUUAGAUAUGCCAUAGAACACCGAUUGCGAAGGCAGCCGGCCAAGCCUUGAUUGACGCUGAGGCACGAAAGCGUGGGGAGCGAACAGG
rnacentral:rRNA from 1 species